rnacentral:rRNA from 1 species
CAAGAAAUUUGUUGUAUUAUAUAAGAAAUUUUCUUAUAUAUGGAUAAUAGAAAUAUUAACCCAGACAGAUAUAAGAUCGAUUUGAUCGAAUAAAGUUCUAGAUGGAUUACUGAUGAUGACAAUUUUCCAUCUAUAUGUCUUGACCAAUUUACGUGCCAGCAGUCGCGGCAAUACGUAUAAGACUAGUGUUAUUCAUCUUUAAUAGGUUUAAAGGGUACCUAGACGGUAUAAUCAGUCUUUAAUAGGAUACGUUUAUACUAGAGUUAAAUAUGAGGAGGGGAGUAUUUAAGAUGUAGAGUUGAAAUUCGUUGAUAUCUUGACGACUGGCAACGGCGAAAGCAACCUUUUAUCUAAUAACUGACGUUGAGGGACGAAGGCAUUGAGUCACGAACAGGAUUAGAUACCCUAGUAGUCUUUGCAGAGAAUGAUGAAUGCCAUAGAUUAGAAGUUUUUAGUCUAUAAAUGAAAGUGUAAGCAUUUCACCUCAAGAGUAAUGUGGCAACGCAGGAACUGAAAUCAUUAGACCGUUUCUGAAACCAGUAGUGAAGUAUGUUAUUUAAUUCGUAGUUACGCGAAAAACCUUACCACAAUUUGAAUAUUAUCUAAUAAUAUGCUUAAUGCAUAUUAUAUGAUAUUACAAGCGUUGCACGGCUGUCUUCAGUUAAUGUCGUGAGAUAUUGGUUAAUUCCAUUAAAUUAACGGAAACCCUUGCUUUAUUUACGAUAAAAAGAAAUAAAGCAGUUCACCACUUAUAAUGGAAAUGAUAACAGGGAUCAAGACAAGUC